CGCACGGGUGAGUAACACGUAUGCAACCUGCCUGCCACAGCCGGAUAAUCGGGAGAAAUUCCGUCUAAUACGGCAUAAUGCAUCGACGGGACAUCCUGUUGGUGCCAAAGGUUGAUUCCGGUGGCGGAUGGGCAUGCGUCGCAUUAGUUAGUUGGCGGUGUAACGGACCACCAAGACGACGAUGCGUAGGGGUUCUGAGGGGAAGGUCCCCCACACUGGUACUGAGACACGGACCAGACUCCUACGGAAGGCAGCAG
rnacentral:rRNA from 1 species